UGUUCCCGGGAAAGCUUUUUCCAAUUCAUAAAUCCUCAGUAAACACAGGAUGAAGCAUAGAUAAAUCUUACUCAAGCUUUUAAUCAGGCUCAGCGUAUAAAUAGAGAGGUCCCUUUGAUCCAUUAAGGUUUGAGCCGACGCGAUUUUCUUAUCUCGCCAUCAUGUACGGAAACAAAUGCCCUAGAAGCUAGAAAAGGGUUCUUCUCCUUCACUCUUCUUCUCUAACACAGCACAAGAACGAGACGCUUCGUCAGCUCCAUUUCUUCCGCUUUUCUCAUCAGACAUGGAUAACAUACAAGAUAUCGCACAAGGGAUGCAGGAAUUUAAAAUUGAAGCGAUCUCAUGCACUUUUCCUCAGGAAAUCAUACAAGAGAUCCUACUUAGGCUACCCGUCAAAUCUGUUAUCAAAUGCACCUCAGUGUGCAAGACAUGGAGGUCCAUGAUCAUAACCAAAGCUUUAUUCGCACCCACCUCAACCCAACAGUUCAUGUUAAUAACCUGAACGCCAGUCACCUAUUCCUAAUCCACAGGGUUGCUGGUAAGAGGAGCGUCACUAUGUUCCACAAAGCCCUUGUUGACGAUGUACUGGAAGAGGUUUAUUCUCUGCAUUAUGAUAACAAGGCUUUUGACGAGUACUCCAAGAUAGAAUUUCCAAUUGCUCCAAAGCAAGAACUGUACAAUUGACAUCUUCGUGUGGUCGGCACUUGUAACGGGCUAAUCUGCUUUGCGGAUGAUAUCUUCCGUUAUGGUUACGAUAUCUUUAUAUGGAACCCAGCCAUUAGAAAGUUAGUGACCCUUCCCUGGCCUGGUGUUACCUAUUGGGUUUGGCAAAAGCCUGUACUCCACCGGACAGAUUAUGGCAAUGAAUAUUUUAUAUUGACAUUUGACGUGAUCAGUAAGUUAUUUUGUGAAAUGCCAGUGUCGAAGAGUUUAAUAUGUGAUUUCAAACUAGGAUUACAAUUAUCUGUUUCAGGAGAUGGAAAAUCCAUUGCUCUGUUCUCAAUGGAUAACAGAUGUGAAGACCGUUUUCUUGAUAUAUGGGUGAUGAAAGAGUAUGGCAUAAAGGAGUCGUGGACCAAAUUGCUUGGUCCACAGGGGCCGGAAAGACUUCUACCCAGGGGCAUUAUGUUUUAGGAAGAGCGGCAAAGUAUUAUUGAUGCUUUGUGGAGAUAGGGAAGAAUUUUCUGAUGAUGAUGAUAACUUUGAUAAUUACUACAUAAAAUCAAAGCAUGAGUUAGUAUCACUAGACCUUGUGAACAAAACCGUUGAAAAUCUUGGUGUUCCUGGAGAAGGAUAUCAAUAUUGCACCGUUGAUUCUUUCAAAGAGGUCCUUGUCUUACUCGACCCGACAGAUGCGGUUUCCUACUAAGAGAAGGAACAGACAGACUCGUAGGGCUGCAACUUCCUUUUCCUCAAGUGCCUGAAAUGCUGGUGCAUUUUGUUGACAUGGAACUUCUUAUCCCAAGUGCUGAUAUAUUUUCUCGACUAGUUUUUAGGACAAUUAUAAACUUAGUUUUUGACCUAUGGAAGUAUGCACUUGUUACAUAUUUGAAUUGGUUAUGCAGUUCUAAACUAGCGAAUGAUUUUGCAAAUUUUUUCCCUCAACAAUUAACAGUAUUUGCAUUUGAUAUGAUUCCCUUCACAUUCGAUA